rnacentral:lncRNA from 1 species
AUGGACUCAUAGGUCUCAAACACGGCUUGAUCGAGUUGGUAUAAAUUGUCUAGUGUGAAACCCACUAAUUUACAGAUCGCAGUGUCUCCCAUCGUAGUGAACGGUGAGAACAUGUCGACCAGAGCUUGGUUUGUCCGACUUUUAUUGCCGGUUAUCAAAUUGAUCAUCCUGCUUGUAUUAGUGGUCGACAACAUGGAUUCUUAUGCCGGAGCUCAACGUCAGAACGAACCUGAUUUUCCAUGUAAGUAAGCUUCUCUUCAGCUACAGUUCCCUUGUCCAUACGCAGUAUAUGUAUAUAGGAAGCAGAUGGUUAGUUCAUCAAUCCCAUAAUUGAAAUGAUUUUCCUAUUUAACUUUAUCCUAAAAUAUUAUAGAUUUUUUUAUCCCAAACAGUACUUUAUUUAAUUAGUUCUAGCAGUUGACGAAAUUUGUUCUAAAACAUGAUACCUUCAAUAAUAUAUUGUUCUGUCAAUGAACCAUAAACUUCCAACUGAUGCAUGCGGGAGGACGGGAUGGGGAUUGUGUGGUCGUGAAACCACGGGCUGAGGCUUUCGGCCAGCCAAUGCGGCUGUAGGUGUGGCCCUGAGCCAGGGCUUCGUGUCUUAUGCAGGUAACACCUCUCUUCGUAGGUAGCUCGUUUUUGGCCAGCUACAGCCACGUUCCUACAUGGCGAGCCAGAGCCGUGAGCCACGUAGGAGCACUGUAUAUGUCCUUACGGCAGGUUAUACGAACAAACUAGAGAUUCGUUUGAAAAAUUGAUGACAAUCGAGCAGUUGUUUUACGGCUCUAUAUAGGGAGUAGAAUUAAUCUUGCAUUUAGUUUAAUUUUCUAAUCCAAUAAACUAUAUCUAUUUACACUAACACAUCAAACUACUCACAAUAGAAUAUUUUUCCUUAGUGACAUUAGAUCGUCCACAAUUAUCUUUUGAUAUCAUUCUACUCCUAAUAAUAUUAAACGAGUAGCAACUGAUUUUAUGUGAAAACAUUGUUACUCAACCAAGGGUUAUACGAACAGUUGUCUUAAGCCUCUAUAGAGGCAGUAGAAUUAAUCUAGCAUUUACUUUUUCUAAUCUAAUAAACCUUACUUAUUUAUACUAACACAUCAAUGGAAGUAUAAUAUUUUUUAGUGAUAUUAGAGUGCUCUAAAUUAUCUUUUGAUAUUAUUAUACCACUAGUAGGACAAAGGACCGUUGCCGAGUCCCACUCGCCAAGAAACAUCAUGGAAGAAACGAGGAGGAAAAUAUUGCCAAACAUUUAGAAGAAUCAAGAUCUAGCAUUAAUGGUUAUAGCAGUAAAAUUUAUUUGAUUUUAUUAAUCUACACAUGUAUAGAUUGUAUAUAUGGGUUAAAUAAAAAAAACCAGAUAAAACUAUAAAGUUUUAUAAUAUUAAAUAGGUAUAUAUAGUACAUAUUAUAUGAGAAUAAAACACAUUUAUUUAGAAGAUCAAAUAGCAAAUCAAAGCGACGUGGUCCAUUAGAUCAAAACGAUUCUCACCGGAUCAACGCAUCUCGUAUUUUUCUCUUUGGCGCAAAGAACCCAACUCUCGUUAGAUUUUGACCAAUCCUACAACUGCCUAGGUUUCUAGGGCCCUUAACUUUUAGCUUUUUCUCUAAAAAACCUAAAAGAUAUAUUUCCAAAUAAAAAAUAUUUUAUAUAUAAUACUUUUAUAUACAUAUUAUUAAUGAUCGCUACAAUAAAACAACUAAAAUUAACUCCUAAUUUAAAAUUAAAAAUCUGAAUUUCAGUUUAUAAGCACAAAUAGCCCGGAAAAGAUAGGACUGGUCGUUUUUCUCCAUGCCACUGCUAUCACGUCAGUUGAUUGCUCAAAAUGACCCUACAGUGUCCCAUUGCACUAAUAGAUAAGAUAAUAAGUAAUAAUUCAGCACUGAAUUUCGAAACUAAAUUUAAAAUAGUUGUACAAAGUUAAUCUAAUUUUGAUGGAAACCGGGUGACGCGCGUCAUAUUGCAGGGCUAGUACCACAUCAAAUAUUUUUUAGCAUAGAUAAAAAAACUGCAUGACAGUUACGGCCUGUCUUCUACCGCAACAGUAGCCAGAUGUGCAGUUUGAACUGUGCGUUAAAAUAUGUCUUAGUUACUUUUAUGGAAUUGGAUUCUCGUAUGCAGGCCAUUAUUUGGGAUCCCGUAACUGUCGGCUAUCGCCAUAAAUAAACCAUUUCCACUUUAUCUGGUACUUGAAGAACUGUCUCUACCCUUGCCCAUACAUACAUACAUACAUACAUAGUUUAGCUACAAGUCUUUAACUCAUAUGCUGUUUCGUGAGUCAGGGUCAAGAAUAUAUUAAAUCAUUUCUAAAUUUUGAUUUUAUAUGGCUUAAUAAAUUACUUAUAUCAAAAUCUUAUAGCACGCUAAAUUUUUUUCAUUUUUGAAAAUUUUUAAGUAUUUGUUUAAGAAUUUUUAAAAGUAUCAUUAAAAAAAUCUCAAACGAAUACUUAAAAGUGUCCAAAAAUAAAAAAAAUUGUGUGAUAUAAGAUUUUGAUAUGAAGAAUGUAUUGAGCCAUAUAAAUCAAAAUUUUGAGGUGAUUUUAUAUGUUUUUUGACACAGCGACUCACGAAACAGCCCGUAAAUUAUGACUCAUUUUAGCAAGACUAUAUAUAUGCGGUGUGUGUGUAUAUGUAUAUAAUGCCUUUUUUUUCUGUUUUGACUUGCUGAGGACAGGAACUUCCAAGAAUAUCGGAAUAAACAAGAACAACCUCUAAAGGGCAGUAAAUCAAAACAUCGAUGGGAGGACCGUGUAUUAUAUUUUUGCGUAUAUGUAAAACUGCGAACAUGUACCCGGAUUUAUAGAUAUUGUAAUAGUUUCACUACAUCAUGGACGAUAAUUUAGACAAAC